UACGAAGGGGGCUAGCGUUGUUCGGAAUACUGGGCGUAAAGGGCGCGUAGGCGGCGUGUCAAGUCAGGCGUGAAAGCCCCGGGCUCAACCUGGGAACCGCGCUUGAGACUGGCAUGCUCGAGUUCGGGAGAGGAUGGUGGAAUUCCCAGUGUAGAGGUGAAAUUCGUAGAUAUUGGGAAGAACACCGAUGGCGAAGGCAGCCAUCUGGACCGACACUGACGCUGA
rnacentral:rRNA from 1 species